rnacentral:misc_RNA from 1 species
UGCCUUCUAUUUGACAG